UACGUAGGGUGCGAGCGUUAAUCGGAAUUACUGGGCGUAAAGUGUGCGCAGGCGGCAUCGCAAGUCGAGUGUGAAAGCCCCGAGCUUAACUUGGGAAUUGCGCUCGAAACUACGGUGCUGGAGUAUGGCAGAGGAAGGUGGAAUUCCACGUGUAGCGGUGAAAUGCGUAGAGAUGUGGAGGAACACCGAUGGCGAAGGCAGCCUUCUGGGCCAAUACUGACGCUCAUGCACGAAAGCGUGGGGAGCAAACAGG
rnacentral:rRNA from 1 species